AGUUAGCUGAGGAGUCCAACAUAGUCGGACGAAAUGCGCGUCAUCCUAGAU
rnacentral:hammerhead_ribozyme from 1 species